CCGACCGAUAGUGAACUAGUACCGUGAGGGAAAGAUGAAAAGUACCCCGAUGAGGGGAGUGAAACAGUACCUGAAACCGGAUGCUUACAAGCUGAUGGAGCUCUUCGGAGUGACAUCGUACCUUUUGUAUAAUGGGUCAACGACUUAGUGUAGCAAGCAAGCUUAAGCCGAUAGGUGUAGGCGUAGCGAAAGCGAGUCUUAAUAGGGCGAAUAGUUUGUUGCAUUAGACCCGAAACCAAGUGAUCUAGCCAUGAGCAGGUUGAAGGUUGGGUAACACCAACUGGAGGACCGAACCCAUACACGUUGCAAUGUGUCGGGAUGACUUGUGGCUAGGGGUGAAAGGCCAAUCAAACUUGGAAAUAGCUGGUUCUCUGCGAAAUCUAUUUAGGUAGAGCGUCAAUCGAAUACUCCGGGGGGUAGAGCACUGGAUGGGCUAUGGGGUCCCAACGACUUACUGAUCCUAACCAAACUCCGAAUACCCGGAAGUAAUAAUUGGCAGACACACUGCGGGUGCUAACGUCCGUAGUGGAGAGGGCAACAACCCUGACCUCCAGUUAAGGUCCCCAAGUCAUGGCUAAGUGGGAAAGGAUGUGAGAAUCCCAAAACAACCAGGAUGUUGGCUUAGAAGCAGCCAUCAUUUAAAGAAAGCGUAACAGCUCACUGGUCUAAAUAAGGGUUCUUGCGCCGAAAAUGUAACGGGGCUAAAGCCAUGCACCGAAACUGAGGGCACUAUUUAUAGUGCGGUAGCAGAGCGUUCUGUAAGCCUGCGAAGGGAUACUCGUGAGAGAUCCUGGAGGUAUCAGAAGUGCAAAUGUUGACAUGAGUAACGAUAAAGAGGGUGAGAGACCCUCUCGCCGAAAGACCAAGGGUUCCUGCUUAAAGUUAAUCUGAGCAGGGUUAGCCGGCUCCUAAGGCGAGGCCGAAAGGCGUAGUCGAUGGGAAUGCAGUUAAUAUUCUGCAGCCUGGUGGUAGUGACGGAUCUCGUAAAUUGUACAUCCUUAUUGGAUUGGUUGUGCAGUGAAGAGGUUCCAGGAAAUAGCUCCACCAUAUAGACCGUACCCCAAACCGACACAGGUGGUCAGGUAGAGAAUACCAAGGCGCUUGAGAGAACUCGGGUAAAGGAACUAGGCAAAAUGGUGCCGUAACUUCGGGAGAAGGCACGCCGGUGGUAUGUGACGCCCUUCGCGGGUUGAGCAGAAGCCGGUCGAAGAUACCAGGCCCCUGCGACUGUUUAUUAAAAACACAGCACUGUGCAAACACGAAAGUGGACGUAUACGGUGUGACGCCUGCCCGGUGCCUGAAGGUUAAAAGGAGAUGUGAGAGCGUCGAAUUGAAGCCCCGGUGAACGGCGGCCGUAACAAUAACGGUCCUAAGGUAGCGA
rnacentral:rRNA from 1 species